AGAGAGAGAGAGAGAGAGAGAGAGAGAGAAACUGGAUAUUUAAAGGCUUGGACCGGCAGUGCCCACACACACACGCACGCACACUCUCUCUCUACGAAGGAGGAAAAAGGCGCGUGCAGCAAUUUGCGGUUGUUUCCGUGCCUGAGCAGAUCAUGAAGCAGAGACGGUAUGUGGUCAGCAUCAGUGCUGUUUAAGGAAGGCUUGAAGCUGAAAGAGCAUCAGCAUCUCAGAUCAGAUCAGAUCAGAUCUAGUAAAACCAUCCUGCGGUUCACACAGAUAUGAAAACACAGAGCGCGCUUCAAGAGGAGCAACUCCAACUUCACUUCAGGUAGCAUGGACGCUGAAGGUGACCUGUGGCUGGGCCAGGGGCUGCAACACAGGACAUGGGAGCUGCCUCUCACUCCCGCUCGUGUCUUGUGUUGCAGCCAGUGGAACUGCUGCGCUGUGCACAUCAGAAGGACGUCCUCCUCAGCACCAGUCUCCAAAGGACUUUUGUUUGUUUAGUGUGUACAAAAAUGUGUGCAGUCCUAAAUAAAAAUUCAUAAACAUU